AUUUACGCUAACCGUGCUCUCUUUUCGCUCUCUGCUGCCACCGGCUGCUUUGUGAACUGCAGUUGCGCAAACGACUUCAGCACAGCUGCCGCUGUUUAGCAUGUUAGAAAUUAGCUCACCUGUCAAAAAGUCAACUCACGUAACGUUAGUUUUUUAUCGGCUGUAGCGGAAUAAUAUUAUUUCGUUUAACCAACUUCAUUCGCUAGCUUGUCAUUUUUAACUUUGUUUGUUGGCAAAAGUUGCACUUUAAGGCUGAAGUAUAAUUUCCUGUCGUAUAACGUUACCUGUCGGCAGCUUGGAACCACAGCUAUCACCAAAGGACAACUCUUUCCCAGGGAUUUUGUCACAAUAUGUUAGGAUGUCUUGGUCGCUGCUUCCUUUCACCAGUCUAAGGAGUUGUGGUGGAUCUACCAGACGGAGUUCCUGGCAUUAAGGGAGCAUCUCCUCUCGGCUGAGCAGUAGAACCUUCGGCACUCCAAAGUGAAUCUGGUCCGGGAAGAGAUUAAGAGGGCCAUCGCUGAAAAAACAGGGGCUGAGAGACAUAAACCACACCUGGAGCAGCCUCUCAAGCCAUGGCUAACAUCGAAUCCAGUAUGGGUCCUUCGGCAAGACCUUUGAUGCUAUCUGCCUACCUCAAGUGUGAGUGAAACCACAAACAGGAGAGUCAUACCGGCUCGGACGUCGCCCGGGUCAACAAGGUCCGCGUCAGGUGUUAUGGAACCAGGGCUUGAGAUUGACGAGGUACAACAAAAAUGCUACGGCAAGGGGGAGCCAGGACGCAAGGUCAGCGGGGGGAUGUCAUCAUCCCCCCUACAAUCCGAGUGGCUUUGUAUUUACACUCAGCAGUGUUCCACGUUGAAGCCAGCGCUGCAGAAAGACUCCGACUUUGUCAGAGCCUGCGACUUCCACUGGUGGAUCAUUGGAUAAUAAGCUCAGUGUGGAGUAAACUGGCAGUGAUGGGGUUAGGAUGAGAGAAAGCAGGAUGGAACAGAUCUGGGUUUUGAUUGGUUUGAUGGAGGAGAAAUCUUGUGAUGUUUGCUUUUCUUUGUUUUGAUAUCUGACAGCCUGACCUGUCUGUAUUUCCUUGAUUUAAAUAAAUAAUAA